rnacentral:rRNA from 1 species
GGUUCGAUCAUGGCUCAGAUUGAACGCUGGCGGGAUGCUUUACACAUGCAAGUCGAACGGCAGCACGGACUUCGGUCUGGUGGCGAGUGGCGAACGGGGUGAGAGUAAUGUAUCGGAACGUGCCUAGUAGUGGGAUAAUCUGUAUGCGAAAGUGUAGCUAAUACCGCAUACGUCCCUUCGGGGAAAGCGGGGACCUUCGGGCCUCGCACUAUUAGAGCGGCCGAUAUCGGAUUAGCUAGUUGGUGGGGUAACGGCUCACCAAGGCGACGAUCCGUAGCUGGUUUGAGAGGACGACCAGCCACACUGGGACUGAGACACGGCCCAGAUUCUACGUGAGGCAGCAGGGAAUUUUGACAAUGGGGGAAACUCGAUCCAGCCAUCUCAUGUGUGCGAUGAAGGCCUUCGGGUUGUAAAGCACUUUGGCAGGAAAAGAAACGGCACGGGAUAAUACCCCGUGCAACUGACGGUACCUGCAGAAUAAGCACUGGUUAACUACGUGCCAGCAGCUGCGGUAAAUAAUGUAGGUGCAAGCGUUAAUCGGAAUUACUGGGCGUAAAGCGUGCGCAGGCGGUUCGGAAAGAAAGAUGUGAAAUCCCAGAGCUUAACUUUGGAACUGCAUUUUUAACUACCGAGCUAGAGCGUGUCAGAGGGAGGUGAAUUCCGCGGUGUAGCAGUGAAAUGCGUAGAUAUGCGGAGGAACACCGAUGGCGGGCUGGUAGCCUCCUGGGAUAAACACUGACGCUCGCGCACGAAAGCGUGGGGAGCAAACAGGAUUAGAUACCCUGGUAGUCCACGCCCCAAACGAUGUCAACUAGCUGUUGGGGCCUGGCCUUGGUGGAAGCAGCUAACGCGUGAAGUUGACCGCCUGGGAGUAAUGGCCGCAGAUUAAAACCAAAGCGAAUUGACGGGGACUCCGCACAAGCGGUGGAUGAUGGGAUUAAUUCGAUAAUCGCGAAAAAACCUUUACCUACCUGACAUGUUCGGAAUCCCGAAGAGAUUUGGGAGUGCUCGCAAGAGAACCGAACACAGGUGCUGCAUGGCUGUCGUCAGCUCGUGGCCGAGACGUUGCUGUCCGCAACGAGCGGCAACCCUGUCAUUAGUUGCUACGAAAGGGCACUCGAUCGAGACUGCCGGUGACAAACCGGAGGAAGGUGGGGAUGACGUCAUCCUCAUGGCCCUAUGGGUAGGGCUUCAUACGUCAUACAAUGGUCGGGACAGAGGGUCGCCAACCCGCGAGGGGGAGCCAAUCCCAGAAACCCGAUCGUAGUCCGGAUCGCAGUCUGCAAACUGACUGGUGCGAAGUCGGAAUCGCUAGUAAUCGCGGAUCAGCAUGUCGCAGAAUACGUUCCCGGGUCUUGUACACACUGCCCGUCACACCAUGGGAGUGGGUUUUACCAGAAGUAGUUAGCCUAACCGUAAGGAGGGCGAUUACCACGGUAGGAUUCAUGACUGGGGUGAAGCUGUAAUAAGGUA